rnacentral:lncRNA from 1 species
ACUCAAGAUGCUUAGUUUCUCCUUUUUUCUUUUUUCUCCUCCAGGGAUGGGAAUCAGAUGGGCAUAGGGCAUCUGGUCCAUGAUCAUCCUUUGUUCGUGCUGAUCUCCGGUGAAAUAUCUGAAGAAGCUUAUCAAGACCUCCACCUGGGAUCACCCAUCAUUCCACCCUUUCCAAUUCUGAGCUGACAUCACCUCUGGGUAUAUCAGUGAACCACAGACUCAGUCAACAGAAAACCAUGGAGAAGAGAUCUUGUUAUCAUUACUGAAAUUGUGAUUUUAAAUGGAAAGUUUAUUUUCAGCCAAGAAAAAGCUGGUGAGAGAGAAGCAAAUGAACCGAGUAUUUGUUUAUGUACUUCACAUUACAAGGCUGGUUAAAUGAUUUUAUUCAUUAGUAAUUAGUCUAUUCAACAGCACUGUGAAGUAAGUAUUAUUGCACUCAUUGUUUAUAUUAAUCAGAGUAAUACUAGGAAUAGUGCUAAUAAUGGUAACUUGCAUUUCUUGCGCAUUUCCCAGGUGCUAGAAUCUGUGAACACCAAUGUAAAUUUCACUCGGAUUUGAUUUUCAAGUACAGAUGAGGAAAUUAAUGCUCAGUAAGUCCAUGUGACUUGCUAUUGUCAGACAGCCUGGGCUUGGCCAUCUGAUUAAAAAAACAGUGGGCUUUGCAUAAUGCUAAGCUGCUAUAGGUCACGGGGCUCUGAUUGGAGAAGAAAUAGGAAAUAUUUACAAAUGUGAACCUGAAAGAGCCAAUUCUUCCAGAUGAAUCCCAAGAGCCUAACUGAGCCUAAAUUUAAAAUAGUCAAGCAGUUAUUUGCUAAUUAGACUAGGUCACACAUAUCUUUUAGUUCCUGGAAAACUCAUUCCUCUGGUUUAACCUUGGAACCUUCAGAACUCCCAAAGGUCUACUUUGGGAACUAACCAAUCAGGGAUCAGCUAUAUCAACCAAUCAGAACUAAGCAAGUUCGAAUGCUUCAUUUGCAUAAAUGAACCUGAUGGGGAAACUGGGUGUUUUUUCUCUAUAAAAGCAACCCCCCGGGGGGGCGCCCAAGAUGGCCAAAUUGGAGCAGCUCCAGCCUCCAGCUCCCAGCAUGAGUGACACAAGACGGGUG